UACGUAGGGGGCAAGCGUUGUCCGGAAUCAUUGGGCGUAAAGAGCGCGUAGGCGGCCCGGUAAGUCCGCUGUAAAAGUCCAGGGCUCAACCCUGGAAAGCCGGUGGAUACUGUCGGGCUCGAGUCCGGAAGAGGCGAGUGGAAUUCCCGGUGUAGCGGUGAAAUGCGCAGAUAUCGGGAAGAACACCCGUGGCGAAGGCGGUUCUCUGGGACGGUACUGACGCUGAGACGCGAAAGCGUGGGGAGCGAACAGG
rnacentral:rRNA from 1 species